ACACCAUUUGGAGAGGAGAAGAGCCUCGAACAAGAUGUAGUCCAUCUUAGAAUAGGGAGAGUGUGAGGUGAGAGCUUUGGUGAAAGCCAAGCUAAAGGAGCGGUGCCGAGUUCUCUCGGCCUUACUCCACUUUUGUAAGCCACCUCAGAGGAAUGAAAUAUCUUUGGAGCGAAGUUUCUCAUCUCUCGUCGAGAAGAACCAUGAGAUAACCAUCUGGAACUCUCAGCAGCGCCCUAUGGGAACUGCGCCUCUGUCUGAGGUACAUGCGAACAUUAAGCAAUCUGGCCGGAAUGGGAAAACCCAAUCUGGUGGUUCAUCUGGCAAAGGCAAGCGCAAGAGAACCCGCAAGCCAUGUGUCAAAUUCCAGAAAGGGAAAGGCAUCUCUAAGCUAAAAUAUGAUAAAAACAACAAAACCGCUUGCUACAAGUGUGGUUGUUACAAUCAUGUGGCUAAGAAGUGUCGGACCCCGAAACAUCUAGUGGAUCUCUACAUGAAGUCCGCAGGUCGUGCACAGGACAGUCAGAAGUUUGAAGCACACUUCGCCUCUCACGAGAUGAAGAUGGGCACUUCGGAUCAAGCUCCACAUGGAUCUGGACCAAGCAACGCCACGACUUCACCACCGAUUGAGGAGAAACCUCUGGCCGUCGACGACAUGAUCAUAGAUUACUCCACUGAUGUGUAUGGAGACCAGUUCUAGGCUUCAUACUACUUAGUAUUUCCAUUUAAAUUUGCAAGGAGUAUUGUAAUUUAAACAAGAUGUUGCUAUCUUCAUUUGCUUUGCUGGAUGUAACUAAGUACUAUUUCCAUUAAUGUCAAUGGUGUUUUCUAUA